GCGGCGCACGGGUGAGUAACGCGUAGAUAAUCUGCCCCUGAGACUGAGAUAACCCUGGGAAACCGGGGCUAAUACCGGAUGAAGCAUCAUUAUUGGAUUGAUGAUGUUAAAGUGGCGCAAGUCACACUUGGGGAUGAGUCUGCGACCUAUCAGCUAGUUGGCAGUGUAAUGGACUACCAAGGCGAAGACGGGUAGCUGGUCUGAGAGGAUGAUCAGCCACACUGGGACUGAGACACGGCCCAGACUCCUACGGGAGGCAGCAGUAGGGAAUAUUGCGCAAUGGACGAAAGUCUGACGCAGCGACGCCGCGUGAGUGAAGAAGGCCUUAUGGUUGUAAAGCUCUGUAAGGAGGGAAGAACCGCAAGUGGUAACGCACUUGUCUGACGGUACCUCCGAAGUAAGGACCGGCUAAAUACGUGCCAGCAGCCGCGGUAAUACGUAUGGUCCUAGCGUUGUCCGGAAUUACUGGGCGUAAAGGGUGUGUAGGCGGAUAUACAUGUCAGAUGUGAAAUCCCCCGGCUUAACCGGGGCACUGCGUUUGAAACUGUAUAUCUUGAGUAUGUCAGGGGUAAGCGGAAUUCCCGGAGUAGCGGUGAAAUGCGUAGAUAUCGGGAAGAACACCGGUGGCGAAGGCGGCUUACUGGGGCAUAACUGACGCUGAGGCACGAAAGCGUGGGGAGCGAACGGGAUUAGAUACCCCGGUAGUCCACGCUGUAAACGAUGGAUACUAGAUGUCAGUUGCAUUAAAGUGAUUGGUAUCGAAGCUAACACGCUAAGUAUCCCGCCUGGGG
rnacentral:rRNA from 1 species